rnacentral:rRNA from 1 species
UACGAAGGGGGCUAGCGUUGCUCGGAAUUACUGGGCGUAAAGCGCACGUAGGCGGCUUUCUAAGUCGGGGGUGAAAUCCUGGAGCUCAACUCCAGAACUGCCUUCGAUACUGGAAAGCUCGAGUCCGGGAGAGGUGAGUGGAACUGCGAGUGUAGAGGUGAAAUUCGUAGAUAUUCGCAAGAACACCGGUGGCGAAGGCGGCCUGCUGGGCUAUGGCUGACACUGAGGCGCGACAGCGUGGGGAGCAAACAGG